CCGUGAGCUAACACUUGCUGGAUGAUCUGAGCUAGAGCACUGAUUUAAUUCACAUUAUCAUACUAGCUAGUUGCGAGAACCCCUUAAUGGCUUCUAAUGACACCAGCGACAUGUGUCACACGUGAGCAAAAAGUGGGGAAUCGAAGCAGGUCGUUAUUGGAAUGUGAAUUCGAACCUCUCUGUCUGAUGGGUUGAGUAACAGGCCUCCUGAGCUCCGGGGAGCUGGACGAAACUCGUAAGUUUCUCGUUUCCUCUCCGAAAAAUACAAGCUGCAGCUUUAAUUUAGAUAAGUGUCUAACAUUUCCACCGUAAUCAACUACUUUUCCCAGCCUCUGCCUUUAACACAGUUUGUUUUAAUUUACUUGAUUAAGCACUUCAUUAAGGCGCCCCUGUGGAGUAGGUGGAGGGAUGGCUUUAUCGCUACCGUGAUUUACCUCUGUCUGAGCGGUACGGAGAGCGCGCGUGUGCUAAACGAGGUGUGAAGAACGCCAGCGUGAAUGAGGAAUGACACCGAGCAGCACACGCGAAGGGGAGAUGGCAGAUGACAUCGGCGCCGACGCCGCACGGCUCAGUGUAAUACUAAAAGGAGAGUAAAAUGGAUCCCGUGAUAAUGUUCGCCCAAGAAGGAGAGUGUGAUCUGCCAUAGUUCUCACUGCAAGGCUGCUGUCAUGGCUGUGCUUCAUCCUGAACCAGGUGCUGAAAGACAGAAGGCUGUGGGCGUUAUGAGAAAAGAACAAGAGCAAAAAGGCAGAAGAAAAGCUUUGUAUAUGACGUGACACGAUAUGUAACACGAGUCGGAAAUGAAGACAAAGUCUGUCACUAUUACUACACUGCCCUGCAGAUAAAAUACAAUGCGGCAGCAAUAUCUCUGUAAUAUGUGCACGAAACAAAGCAAUAAAAAUACAUAUUUCAUUAAAAUAAAUU
rnacentral:lncRNA from 1 species